CCUUUUAUAUGCUAACUAAUCUUUACAAUCUGUACCAACAUUAAACCGAAGUAUAUAAUUUUCAUAACCGGAUUGAACCAAGUAUCCUAAUAUAGUUUUUGUUUGGUGAAUGUGUUGAAUCAUUUCAUUUGUAUAGAAAGAAGAAAACAAAUUAGGAAACAGGAAUUGGGAAGGGUAAAAAAAGGAAUUCAGCAAGCUAACCGUGAUGACGUGAGAACGAGACGACGUCAAAACGCAACACGUCAUCACUUGCCGGCAGACGAAAUAUAAUCGCCUAGAUGACUGCCACGUGUACCUGCGCCCUCUGUAUCACAGAGAUGGUUUUGGAUAAGGUGUAGUGUAUACAUUUAAAUAAAUUUAUUAGAAACAUGUUUUUGUGUUUUGCUUUUCUUUCUUUACUUAUCUUUUUAAUCUUCUAGAACAACUGUACCUUUUGGUAAAUGUCCCCCGUAAAACUAUAUAUUUAUACUAACUAAAUUUAGAGUAUUUUUUCUAAAAAAAGUUAACAUAUAACAGAGACAAAAUAAAUAUACUUAAAUCAUCUCGAUUAUAUGUAUUUAUAAAUAAACACAUUAUUUUAAAGUCAUGAUCAGAGUAAAUGAAUUGAUUGGCCAAUAAGAGGAAAAGGCAAGUCAUAAUCAAGGAAAGUGAAGUAAGCAAGUUGAAAUGAAACGAGUACAACAAAAUUGGUUUCUAUAAGUCAAUGUCAAUGAAAGGGCCCAUUGAGAUGCAAAUACCUUAUCGGGUCCAAAAAUGUAUAAAAUUGAUAGGUAAAUGGCUUCGCGAGCGUUCCUUCGUU
rnacentral:lncRNA from 1 species